UACGGAGGGUGCUAGCGUUGUUCGGAAUUACUGGGCGUAAAGCGCGCGUAGGCGGCUUUGUAAGUUAGAGGUGAAAGCCUGGAGCUCAACUUCAGAAUUGCCUUUAAGACUGCAUCGCUUGAAUCCGGGAGAGGUGAGUGGAAUUCCGAGUGUAGAGGUGAAAUUCGUAGAUAUUCGGAAGAACACCAGUGGCGAAGGCGGCUCACUGGACCGGCAUUGACGCUGAGGUGCGAAAGCGUGGGGAGCAAACAGG
rnacentral:rRNA from 1 species